rnacentral:rRNA from 1 species
GAUGAACGCUGGCGGCGUGCCUAAUACAUGCAAGUCGAGCGAACGGACGAGAAGCUUGCUUUUCUGAUGUUAGCGGCGGACGGGUGAGUAACACGUGGAUAACCUACCUAUAAGACUGGGAUACUUCGGGAAACCGGAGCUAAUACCGGAUAAUAUUUUGAACCGCAUGGUUCAAAAGUGAAAGACGGUCUUGCUGUCACUUAUAGAUGGAUCCGCGCUGCAUUGGCUAGUUGGUAAGGUAACGGCUUACCAAGGCAACGAUGCAUAGCCGACCUGAGAGGGUGAUCGGCCACACUGGAACUGAGACACGGUCCAGACUCCUACGGGAGGCAGCAGUAGGGAAUCUUCCGCAAUGGGCGAAAGCCUGACGGAGCAACGCCGCGUGAGUGAUGAAGGUCUUCGGAUCGUAAAACUCUGUUAUUAGGGAAGAACAUAUGUGUAAGUAACUGUGCACAUCUUGACGGUACCUAAUCAGAAAGCCACGGCUAACUACGUG